UCAUGUAUCAAGCUCCAUCUUCACAAGACAGUCUAUAGUCUUAGGCUGGCUAAGUGACUUAUCAGUGGGUCAUCCACAUCACAUGUGGAGUUUGCUUUCUAUACCUCUAUAUAUUUCUACUCAAGGUAGUCGCAUGUUCAGCUGUUCUAUGUGCUUGGAUAUCUGGUGAGACCUAGGCUCUUUAGCAAGGACUAUGAUGCUUUUGUCUUUGCAGUAUAGUAUCACGGUAUCUA
rnacentral:lncRNA from 1 species